ACACGCGGCGCCCCAUUAAAGCGGCCGUCCCGGGCGCGCGCCUCAUUCGAGGCGACGGGCUCCGGGCCCUGAUAGAUGGGGUGCGGGGACGGAGACAAAUGACGGCCUUUGGGCUCGGAAUACCCACCUUUCUGGUAAUGCAGCCCAGCGGGUCCCAGCCUCGUUUUCCAGCCCUCACUCAAAAUGGAGUCGCUUUGGUUCGAACGCCUCUGACAAGUGUGUACCUACGUGUCAGGCCCGUCCUUCCUGCAGGCCUUUGUCUUGGUGUCACCCUGCCUGAGCUGGCCCCAACCACAGUAGCGACAGUGAUGCUGAUGUGUGACUGCUGCCCGGAGCCUGCUCACAUGACUGUGUGGAGAAAGUUCUUUCCCUGAGGACCAUCUGGAGUGGACGCGUGCACUACCCCUCUCUGAAUACACCCUCCCCACGAGGCCCUCUGGAGCAUCCUGUAGAGCCAGCUCUUACCCAGAGACCCUGAGCCCAGAGAAUGUGCUGGGUGGUGAGCCUGGGGACGAAUGCAGAGCCCUAGAUCUCCUCUCCAGAAAGACCGGAUUUUGCCAUGUUGGCCAGGCUGGUCUUGAACUCCUGACCUCAAGUGAUCCACCUGCCUCGGCCUCCCAAAGUGCAGGGAUUACAGGUGUGAGCCACCGCACCCGGCCUCAGGCAGGUAUUUUUACCAGCCGAAUACUCUUGCACUGUGCACUCUUCACGUUCAUCAUCAGUCCCCCAGAUGGGUGUUUAAGGCAUUUCCAAAGCUCUGUUAUUAAAAACACGAUGCAAUGA
rnacentral:lncRNA from 1 species